rnacentral:tRNA from 1 species
AAAUUUCUAUUCAAUGAAAAAUUGAAUAGAAAUUUUCUUAUAGGAAUCAUAGACAGAUAAGAUAGCAGAUUAGAUAUCUGUGUAAAAUUUUAUGUUCUAGGGUUUACAUAUACUCAUAAUUGUUGUUAUAAUUGAAAUUGAGAAGAAUUUUUUUAUUGAAAAGAAUCAAUACUGAUCGGUUAUGUAUCAAUUUUAUUAUAUAAUUAGGAUUAGGGAAAUACUAUUUUAGAUUCAAAUCCAAGAAUUGUUCAUGAAUUCACAGUCAAGUCAAUAGUUAAUGGUUCCAAUUUGUCCUUAAUUUUGGCUUUUGUGGCUGAAAAUUCAUUUUUCAUUUCAAUAGACAAUAGAAAGGGGAAAGAAUUUAGAAUUUAGAUAGUGUAUGUUUUGAGAUACUAUAAAAAAAAUUAAUCGAAAAAAUAGAUCCAAUCGGAAGGAUUUCUUUUUAGGAAAGGGAUUAAUAAAAAUGGAAUUCAAGAUGCAAGUACAAAAAAAAAAGAGGGGGGAUAUUUUCGUCUAUUUUGUGUUGCCUUGGCGGCAUGGCCGAGUGGUAAGGCGGGGGACUGCAAAUCCUUUUUCCCCAGUUCAAAUCCGGGUGUCGCCUGAUCAACAAAAGGUGCAAAAUGCUUUAUUCCCUUUUGCUGAUAUAACUUGUCGAACUUUCCCCCAACAGAAGCACGCGAAGGAAAGGACAUCUUGAUACUUCCUUGAUUCUAAACAUCGGAAAAUUCUGUUCUCUAAAGUGCUGUAAAUUCUUGCAUCUAGGAUUCGGGGAAAGUUUAUAGUGGUGAAAGGGAAUCGGUAAAUCUUGAUAUAAUAGUCCUUCCACUACUAAGGUCUUUUGUAUACAAACUCAUGAGAAUUCCUGAGUACUCAGGAAUUCUCAUGAGUUUGUAUACAAAAGACCUUAGUAGUGGAAGGACUAUUAUAUCAAGAUUUACCGAUUCCCUUUCACCACUAUAAACUUUCCCCGAAUCCUAGAUGCAAGAAUUUACAGCACUUUAGAGAACAGAAUUUUCCGAUGUUUAGAAUCAAGGAAGUAUCAAGAUGUCCUUUCCUUCGCGUGCUUCUGUUGGGGGAAAGUUCGACAAGUUAUAUCAGCAAAAGGGAAUAAAGCAUUUUGCACCUUUUGUUGAUCAGGCGACACCCGGAUUUGAACUGGGGAAAAAGGAUUUGCAGUCCCCCGCCUUACCACUCGGCCAUGCCGCCAAGGCAACACAAAAUAGACGAAAAUAUCCCCCCUCUUUUUUUUUGUACUUGCAUCUUGAAUUCCAUUUUUAUUAAUCCCUUUCCUAAAAAGAAAUCCUUCCGAUUGGAUCUAUUUUUUCGAUUAAUUUUUUUUAUAGUAUCUCAAAACAUACACUAUCUAAAUUCUAAAUUCUUUCCCCUUUCUAUUGUCUAUUGAAAUGAAAAAUGAAUUUUCAGCCACAAAAGCCAAAAUUAAGGACAAAUUGGAACCAUUAACUAUUGACUUGACUGUGAAUUCAUGAACAAUUCUUGGAUUUGAAUCUAAAAUAGUAUUUCCCUAAUCCUAAUUAUAUAAUAAAAUUGAUACAUAACCGAUCAGUAUUGAUUCUUUUCAAUAAAAAAAUUCUUCUCAAUUUCAAUUAUAACAACAAUUAUGAGUAUAUGUAAACCCUAGAACAUAAAAUUUUACACAGAUAUCUAAUCUGCUAUCUUAUCUGUCUAUGAUUCCUAUAAGAAAAUUUCUAUUCAAUUUUUCAUUGAAUAGAAAUUU